AAAUAAAAUCUGUAUCCAUUGAAUCAUUAAACAAACUUUAAAUCGUAACACGGUAUGAAUUUCAGGUUUAAUCGGAGAAAACUUCAAAAAGGAACAUAUUGUAAUCAAAAACUGAGGGUCGUUCCCGAUAACUAAAACUACACUAGACCCAAUCAAACUUCAGGAAAUCCAUCACGGAGAUUGCAAGACUUCCAAACUGUUUUUCUUCCACACACGCAUUUGUUCGUAAACAUUUCAUGUCGAUAAUAGGGUUUAAAAAUAAAAUGCAACACCACACUGGUAAAAAAAAUAUUCUACUCAUAGGUAUAGGCUCGCCUAAAAAAAUAAUUUGUUUCUGAUAAAUCGAAUUCGAGUGCCAUUAAAAAUAUCUCAGUAACAAUAACUAAAGGGUCCUGCGUAGACUGGAACUAAAUGGAACCUUUUAAACAUAUAUUUGACCUUAAAUAAGAUUAGGGACUCCGCCUCCUUUGCUUUGAUCACCGGAUAUGGUCAAAGUUCAUAAAAUGGAUAUUCAAAUACUUUAUUAAAUUCAAUAUAACUACACUGUAUCAUAUUGAUCUAUAUUAAUAAUGAAUGUAAAUAAUACUAUAAAUAUUAUAACAAACCCAAAUAUAAACAAUUGAAAAUAUGUAUAUUUUAGGCGUCUCAUAACGGAGGUUAAGCUUAAAAUUAUAGAUCAUUAUAAUAUUAUUAAUCAUCUAUUAUCGGCGUAAGGAACACCUAAAUUUAUUAUUACUAUUAUUAUUAUUAUUUUUAUUAUAUUUGCAUACGGUUUUCUAAUAAACGAGUCAUUGGUCAAUUGGUUUAACCAUCGACAUUAAAUUAAUAAUCAUUAUUUUGCACCUAC